GGUCCGCACCGGUGGCCGAGAGGUUAGAGCGUACGCCUUGGAUGCAGGAGGCCGUGGGUUUGAUUCCCGGCCGAGCCA